rnacentral:misc_RNA from 1 species
CUAGAAAAUGAAAGAGAAAGUAGAGUUACUACUAAGAACAGGAAAAAAAAGUUAGAGGGCCUAUCACAAGCUCAAAUCUAUUUGCUCUGUGAUCUCCAAAAACUAAAAUAUGGGGCUUCACCAAAACAUGUCCAAAAAUUGGACAUGCAUUUUUUUGGGAUACAUCACAUAUAAACUAGCAUAAGAUGUGUUAAAUAACAUAGCAAAUUUACUGAAUGAAUAUACAUUUUAGAAAUUGACUAGCAUCAGAUUUUUGACCUUGAUAAAAAUUACUUUUAAAAUCUAAAGACUUGACCUGAGUGGAACUAUUGAUUUGCAUUUAGGUGUGAAAUUGUAAAUGAUGAAAAGGUAAUAAAUAUCUCCUUUAAAUGGUGUAGCUUUGAAGAAUGGUAACUCCUACACAUUCAAGCUGAUCAAUUAAACCCAAACAUAUUUACGUUCUACCUGUAGUCAAUCCUAACACCAUAAACAUUAUUUACCUUCUAUCUCCAGUCAAUUCUAACAUCAUAAACAUUAUUCACCAGCAGCACUUAAUAGGUUGGGGUGACACUGACAAAAAAAAGUUCGAGCAAACCAUGAACAAGUCUAUCAGCAGAAAGAACAAGGAGAAGCUAGCUCCUUCUCCCACCAUUUUCUCUCUCCAGCUCAGUGAAAUCCUCUCUCCCUCACUCUCUCUCUCUCUCCCUCCCCCCAACCCUCCUUUUGAAAGAAAAAAGGUUUCUCCCAAAACGUUGCUGUGCCAUUUUGACAUGGGUACUCCAGGUGAAAUUGCAGAGUAGUAACAAAUGCUUAGACAGACCGGAAAGAAUAUAACAAAGACAAAGGCCAAACAAAUUUAAGUAUGAGUUACACUUGUUCAGAACCUGAAGAUCAAUAUCCUUUUUGGGACAAAAGUACAAAAAGAAUCAGGUGAAUGAGAAACCAGAAUACAAAGUUUAACUUGGUUAGCAAGAGAUUCCACAAUAGAAAAUGAUCUAUUAUAGUGAUUAAACAUAGAGGAAAUGUUACUAAUAAACUCUGGACAAUUUAUAGCAUUCCCAAAUUCCUUUUAGGUAUCUCAGAUUGUUAAUACUGUUACUUUUAUCUAUUAGUUGAAUGUGACAGAAAACUCCUCUGAUUUCUCAUUUCCAUUACAUCUCAUUGUCUUCCUUCUCUGGCUGACCAUAGAGAUCUCAUCUCUCUGUCUCAUAAGUUUGAGCUAAGAAUACAAUAAACAGAUUUAAUGAACAACAGAGGCAAGAAGUGUUGCUUUACCAUGAUUCAGGCAGUACUUCUGCCAAGAUCUUAUCAAACACAAUCUAGAAAACUCUUGAGUUAUAUCUAAUCACAUGACAAUCAAAAUACAGCAAUAAACAAUUUGGUACUGGUGGUACUGGUACAGGUUAAAUUGCUUGAAUGCUUUGAAUUCUUUUUAUUGGUUUUAAUCUUGCACUGCAAUAAGGUGAAAUUCAAUAAAUAUAUGUAUUUUAAGGACACCACGAUCUAUAUUUGUCCUACAAUUAUGGACAUUACCAAAUCACCUGAUUCAGCACUAAGUAUUGGUUUCAGCAACAAAAGGAGAACAACACAAAAUAAAAUAGUAUAAAACCUUUUGAAAAGAUGUUAUGGUGCCUAUAAUGAAUUGGCAAAUCCGUAUAAGGUUCUUCCAUUUAAGUUGCAAGGAUAUUAAAAUAAAAAACAGAAACAAAAAAGAAAACAUAAACCUAAAUGGACAAAUUCUAAAGACUAGAACUUGAGAAUUUGGAAGCAAUUUAAUGGUUUAAAUGCCUGUAAAUUUCUUUAAAGUGAUACGUUGCUUCAUGUGAUAUGACAGAUUAACAUUGUAGGAAUCGCAUUAUCAUGUGUACCUCGCUUUCUUGUUUAAAGUGACAUUAUGGAAUAUUGGAACUAAAGCCAUAAACAGUGUCAAAAUGAAGAUUAUUCUUUCACGGCAAAAUGAAAACAGUACUGAAGUUUAAUUCUUUAUAUCCUACACACUAAAUUUCAGAAUCAUCAAAUUGGCAUCAAACAAACACAAAAUUACCUGCUAUUAAUGACAUCAAUCUCGUGAAGCGUCACACAAUGCACCACCUCUUUCCUCUUCUGCAGCUCACCAUCGGGGCACUGAACAAACUUCACCUGCGGACCCAUGGCAUCGUAGUCCCUCGACCGUGAAAAUGACCUCCCAAGCUUUGUAAUUUUUCCAGACGCCUUAUCGAUUGCAAUUACAUCUCCACUUUGAACUUUUUCCUUCCCCAAUGCUUCUAUCAUCUUCGCCCCCAAAUCAUAAACCGUCUCCAUUUCGGUCGUUUUUAGUGUCAAUUUCCCUGUCUUCGACGCUGCACCAGCUACUGCCGGCCUAUCGAUUUGCACUUCAACGACUUCGCCUUCGAUUAUCUCGGUUUCUUCUUUAAUUCUCACGCCAAUUGCUUUUCGAAAGGCUUGCAUUAGUGCUUCGGUUUUAGACAUCUCCAACGAGAAGAUUUCGCUGCCAGAGAUCAUAGCGAAUGGGGUUUCGAGGCCAAGCGAUUUCGCCAUGCCCAUUGCAAUUGCUGUUUUUCCGGUACCCGGCUGGCCCGCCAGAAGAACGGCUCGACCGGCUAUUUUCCCAUCCUUUAUCAUCUGUAGGAUGACGCCGGCGGCCUUUCUGGCUGCAGUCUGGCCAACCAUGCCCUCGGAGACAGCGCGGGGUUCAAGGGCCGAGUCAAGACCAAGUCCACGGAUGUGGGAGUGGGCGCCUAUGCGCUCAAUUCGGGUCAGGUCUCGGCUUUCAGAGAGCUUGAGUUCAGCCAUGGUGAUGGUUGUCACGGAGGGGAAGUUCGAGACGGAGAUAAUUAGGGUUUAGGGUUGUCUCAGGGCUUCAGUCCGCUGCACGUAGCUGCCGAGUGGGAGCCCAACUCAAACGAAUGAUAAAUUUGAAAUUUUUAUGAGGUACCAAACAAAAAAUAUUUUAAAGGAAAAAAAUCAU